AUACGGAGGGUGCAAGCGUUAUUCGGAAUCACUGGGCGUAAAGGACGCGUAGGCGGGUUGGCAAGUCAGAUGUGAAAUCCUACAGCUUAACUGUAGAACUGCAUUUGAAACUGCUAACCUAGAGUAUGGGAGGGGGAGAUGGAAUUAGUGGUGUAGGGGUAAAAUCCGUAGAUAUCACUAGGAAUACCGAAAGCGAAGGCGAUUUCCUGGAACAUAACUGAGGCUAAGGCGUGAAAGCGUGGGGAGCAAACAGGAUUAGAAACCCGAGUAGUCC
rnacentral:rRNA from 1 species